GGUCAUUUGGUGAAUCCGCCCUUUAUCACGAUGAAAUUUCAAUUCAUAGUAAUCCAAUGACUA
rnacentral:tRNA from 1 species